CUCUUGAGUGGCGCUCAGGUAUUCUAAAAACAUCAUGUGAUGGUAGUUUACGAUCACGAGUUCCCGGUGUAGGUGUUUUGACUUGUUUGUGAUAGAAACCUUAGGUUUGAGACAGAAUUAGUAAAAAUGUUGUGUUUAAUAUAAAAAAACAGUGAUGAUGGUCAAAGCAAGCAGACGUAAUUUGCUGUUUAAUAAUUUAGAAAGUUAUUAUACUGGCUUGCAGGUCUCAUGUUAGCGAUUUGAAGUUGUAGCGUAUAUGCGACCAAAGCAAGUUUCAACAACCCCUAACCUACUUAAUUAAUUUUGCAGGUAUUUACGCAAGUACAUAUAGCUAUACAUACUGGUUCCGGUGGAAAAUGACUUAUCAUGUAAACUAUGGACUAAUUUGGGGGAUUUGCUCACCAAUUCUGGGAAUUUCAAUUUCCUUGAUCGUAUACUGUUUGAUAAGAUACCAAAAUAACAAAAAACGUCAGAACCAGAACACGGUAGCUGUUUGUUAUAAUCCAAACUCUACCCAACUACCGGGGCAGUCAAACCUAACAAUACCACAAGCCAACCAACCAAGCGUACCAUAUGCAGCAUACCCCAUGCAGCAUUACAACCAGAACUACGCAACACAAUACACAAGUGAACCUACGGCCUACAAUUCAGUUCCCCCACCCUACAUCGAGACUGAUGCGAAUGGAAAAAAACAAAAGUUUGACCAGUUUAUGUCGAUGUAAAAGUGAUCACAUUACACGUGAUACGCCGGAAGCAGUUUCAUAUAAAUAAACCUCAUGAAAUAUUUUGGCACGAUUUGCAUGCCGUAGCCGCCAAUGUAUAUGCAUUGUGAUUCCAAAUCUAGAUUGUGAAUGGUGCUUGUGAUUUAGUAUUGGCAAGAAAUUAAGAUUAAAAUAUCAGGAAAGGUCCUUUGCAGUAAGCGUGUCUUUAAUUUUAUAUUCGCUAUUGUAUAUAUGCUUUCUGAUCGCUUGUAUAUGCAAAGCGUUUGAAUGUACCUGCUUUUUCUAUAUAGUAGGGUGAAAGAAGAUGGGACACCUUUAUCACAUAAUAUCUAAAUAUCGUGUUUUAAACAAUUAACAACGGUCGAAUCGCGAGAAAACGGUUUUGUAAUUCUUUAAUUGUUCUUUGUUUAUCGAAAGGGACAAAAAAAUAAAAUAUUGUGACCCAUCUCCCCCCAUCCUACUAUAUAUAUAUAUUGCGUGUUUUAGCAACGCCAGUUUUCACUGUGCUUUAUAUAGCCGACUCCUUUAAAUAAAAAGUAGAAUUUUCACUCUUCAGUCUAUAAUAUCUAUUUUCGUUUUACUUCAGCGGAUACAAGUUACCAUAAAAACAUUUGAGUUUUAUAUUUACCCAAUCCGAAACUUCUUUGAAACGAAAAAUGAGUUACAUUGACAUAAAAACAAUCGUGGGAACAGUGUCAGCAGGGGUGGUUUUAAUAUUGGCGUUGAUAUUGUUUUGUAUUCGUAAACAACUAAUAAAGAAAGAACGAGAACGAAACCAAAUGCAAGGUGGUGUCCCAGUUGUCCUUCAGCAGCCACAAGUAGGCCUUGCAAUACCCCAGAGUCGACCGGUCGAUUCCACAGCAUCUUACCCAACCCAGCAAUAUAACCCAAACUACGCGACACAAUACGCAACAACGACCGAUUUUGGAACAAAACCCUACUCUGCUCCAAUUGAUGGAAAAGUACCAGAAAAAAUUUAACUGCGUCAAGUCAGUGAUUGCGUAACACACGUGAUCUCAAAAUACACGCUUCUAUGAAGCAUUCGGUAGCACGUAAUAUUACGUAAUACAGUGUUACCGCUAACUUGGUAAACUAAACGGAAGUCUUAUAUUAGGCAGAGAUUAAAUAAAAUCAAGGCUGGAUUACAGACCCAAACCACCAGAACGCCGCACCGGAAGCUCUAUAAAUAUAUAUAUAGUGGAAAGGGGGAAGAUAGGACACCUUUCAUUCAAUUUUCUCUUCCCAUUCGGUCGUACACAAAGAACAUUUAGGAAUCAUAAAACCGUAUCCCAUGGACCGUUGUUGGUUGUUUAAAACACGGUCAAGAUAUUUGGAUAUUAUCAAUGUUAAUAUAUGUACAUAUAAUAACAUUGAUAUUAUGUAUUAAAGGUGUCCCGUCUCCCCCCACCCAAUUAAAUGUUAAGUUUACCUAAAUAUUGUUCUUGUAGUUGCGAGGAGUUUUAAACCACAAACAUGACAUCACUUGUGUAGGUUACGAUGUUCAUCUCUAGUUUCGGUUAAACAUAUCAUGCAUACGAAAUGUUAUGUUGUAUUAAAACUGAUCAGAUUUUUUAUGCACCCUUUAAAACUAAAUUACAACAUAGCUUAUAAUUUUGUUGUUUAAGUUAACUUAUAUAUCUUAGCAGUUGUGCUCUUUGAAAUUCCUGAUUACCCCAUCUGAAUAAUUAUUUUUUUCACCCUAUUGUUAAACUGUGCAUUAAUAUUUUUCUAACUUUUUGACAUUUUUUUUGCAAUAAUAUAAUUUUAGUUACUGUUUUGUUUAAAAAUACUAUGUACAACUGCUUUUAGAUGUACUGAAUUUUUAAACCAACCAUUUAACAUUAACUGUACCAAAAUAGCAAUAUACUAAAUAAAGUAUUUU